rnacentral:lncRNA from 1 species
CCGGCCCCAUGCUUUCACUUUUAAAAAUGCUUGUAGGGCACGCAAAAAUACUAAACGGUCGAUGGAGAAGGUCUGUCUGGAGUAGUUGUUUUUUUUUUUUUUUUUUGAGACAGAGUCUCGCUCUGUCGCCCAGGCUGGUGUGCAGUGGCACGAUCUCGGCUCACUGCAAGCUCCGCCUCCCAGGUUCAGGCGAUUCUCCUGCCUCAGCCUCCCAAGUAGCUGGGACUACAGGCGCCCGCCACCACACCCGGCUAAUUUAAUUUUUUGUAUUUUUAGUAGAGACGGGGUUUCAUCGCGUUAGCCAAGAUGGUCUCGAUCUCCUGACCUCGUGAUCUGCCCGCCUCAGCCUCCCAAAGUGCUGGGAUUACAGGCGUGAGCCACCUCGCCCGGC